UUAAUAAAUAUAUACAAUUAACAGAAUGCACGUUACAACUGCAUUCUCCCUCCUACUCGUUACCACGCAACUCGUAUAAAGCCUCGUUACGUAGCACACCAUUUCUUAUUUAUUCACCAAGAAGUUCGGCUCGAGUAAAUAAAAUAAAUAAAAUAAAUUAUUCUAGAACUCUGGACGACCCGACUUUAUUCCUUCAUAAUAAGAACUUUCGUCGAGCCGGCCGUACAUGCUCUCAAACGAUGCCCGUAAGGUGGCGACGCCAUACAUCGACGCAGCGAACCACCUCACCUGCGCAUCGCUCCUCGCCAACGCGUGCGCCCUAAGCCACCAGUCAUACAAUGGCAUCCAUUUUACCCAUGUGCGCGUUAUAUUAAUAAUUAUUUCAUAUUUAAGAAUUUCGCAAGUGACAAUUCUUCGCGAGUGUAAAUAGAUCUCUCAGCAAUGGAUACUAUAUUACCCGCAAUACGCCCAACUUAUAAUCUCCACACGAGUAGAGAAUCGUUCUCAUGAAGUGCACCGUUAAAUUGUGAUGUCAAAAUCGAAAAACCCCCCUGCAGCCCGAGAAAUAAUGAGUAAACAAUUGACAGCCUGGCCGGACGCGACAUGGAACGUGCUAAACGACAAAA